UGCAGAGGAUGUUAAAGAAUAUGUGCUAUCUUAAUACUACUGCUGACAUUUCCACCAAGAUCACUGAUGCA